UACGUAGGGCGCAAGCGUUAUCCGGAAUUAUUGGGCGUAAAGAGCUCGUAGGCGGUUUGUCGCGUCUGCCGUGAAAGUCCGGGGCUCAACUCCGGAUCUGCGGUGGGUACGGGCAGACUAGAGUGAUGUAGGGGAGACUGGAAUUCCUGGUGUAGCGGUGAAAUGCGCAGAUAUCAGGAGGAACACCGAUGGCGAAAGCAGGUCUCUGGGCCACUACUGACGCUGAGAAGCGAAAGCAUGGGGAGCGAACAGG
rnacentral:rRNA from 1 species